rnacentral:lncRNA from 1 species
UUACACCCACUCAUCAUUGUGCACAGGAAGAGUGCGAGUAUAAAAACGCGGUUAUGACAGGCCUUACAAGCCUUCCUCACCUGACUGCAGCAGAAUACAUGUUGUGUGCUAUGGGUUGGAUAGACUGCAGCAGAGCCCCAUAAAGGUGCAGAGCAGACCCUCUUAAGGUUCGUGCAGCAUAAAGCUGCCAUUUCUGGGGGCACAGCUGAUGACUCAGGAGCUCUAAAGAGCCUCUCUGAAGUCUUCCAGGGCCGGGAGGUGUUGGAGGAGAAGGGCACAGCAAUGAGUUCCCCUUUCGGUCAGGACACUUCCACUGGAACACAGCCAGCAUCUGGUUUUACUCCAAUGUAUUUUAAGAAAAACCAAAACACUACACAUGAAUUAGGAGUUAGUUAGUAAUUGUCACUCUUUGGCUUUGGCUGAUCAAACAGGACACACUCUGGGAUUCCCAAUAUAAUCUCCACCAGAGUGACCGAUGUGAUAACCUACAGCAGAACUGCACUGUUCUGAGUGGCAGCCGGAGGCCAGGCUGGCUCUGCUAACACAUUUCUCCUGACUUUCUAUUUAAACAUUUGAAGUCCUGUGAUGUCUGAGCAUUCACUGACUGUGCCCCACUCCUCGCUGAGCAGAUGCUGGCUGAGACAGCAUCACUUCAUCCUGUAUGGCCACGAGAAAAGCAGGGGCUGAGUGUACCUGCGAGAUAGAAGGUGAUGUGUCCUGAGACUCUGUGAUACCUGCAUCACAGGUGCGUGUUUGCCUACAGCAUUAGGAUACAUGCAGGAUGUAUCAUAUGUAUCCCAAGAGCAACAGCGACCGAAAUUUCUUCUUGGCUGUAGAGGAAGCACAAGGAGAUUAAGCUUGCUGGGCUAAAGAAAGUGAAUCCACUGCUGUGAGUACAGAAUCUCAGAACUGGAGGGGAUGGAAGGGACCUCUGGAGAUCAUCCAGUCCAAAAGCUCCAUUAACAGCAUGAAAGCUUUUAUUCAGAAUAUGACAAAUGGGAUUUCUGUGACCUCAGCUCAGCUCCAUCUGCUGAUAGAGACAUUAUUUUUGGCUGCAAUACCACUAUCACUUUAAAUAAUUUAGAUUGGAAACAUUCAGGAUGAAUUUCACAAGGAGAUGCUUGUGUUGGAAACCAUGAAGUUUCCUAUGGCAUCCAGAGCUGGGACACUGUCUAGAAG